UGCCAUUGCACUCCAGCCUGGGCAACAAGCGCAAAACUCCGUCUCAAAAUAAUAAUAAUUCGCUGGAAAUUGUAUAUCAAAAACAAAAGGCAAGAGUCAUCAAACUAUUCUUUUUGACUCUUCUGUAGGAUUUAGGAGCCCUAAACUCCCUAGGAGCUUCACUCGUUCCAAUUUUUUUUUACAGAAAAUCUACAGCCAAGUCAUUCUGGGAAUAAAGUGAGAUAAACUUUUUAGUUUAAAUCUGAAUUCAGGACUGUGUUUGAAUAUUUUAGUUUACCAGAGAAGAAUGGAACUUAGAGCUUGAAAACAAGAAGAAGAUAUGAAAAUACGACAUAAAGCUGGGAUGCAGCUAAAGCAGUGCUCAGAGGGAAAUUUAUAGGCUUCAACACGUAUAUUAGAAGGGAAGAGGCUAGGUGGAGUAGCUCACACCUGUAGUUCCAACACCUUGGGAGGCCAAGGCGGGAGGAUCGCUUGAGCCCAGGAGUUUGAGACCAGCCUGGGCAAUGUGGCAUCUCUUAUAAAAAAAGAAAAAAGGAAAGAAAAAUCAAUAAAUUAAGCUUCUAGCUCAAGAAACGAGAAAAGAAAUAGUAUCAAAGCCAGAGCAAAAUAGAGGGAAGAAACACAGACAAAAACAAAAGUCAAUGAAGUAGAAAAGAAAGUAGAUAUUAGACAUUUUAUUUGUCCCAUUUUCCUAUAUUCACCAAAAAUUCUGAGCAUAGUGGGAGAGGGCUUCAGUGUUGGUGGGCCUAGGUGAUGAGAGAUGGUUUCCCCAGGAUCACUGAGGAAGCCCCAGACCUGGGAUAAGUACCUCAGAUCAGAAACCACACAGGAUACAGGAAUUCUUAUGCUCUGGGUUGAGUACCAGCUAAAGAUGACAUCAAAAGCAGUCCCUGAACUGUGCCCACCAUGGGGUCAUUCAGGCAGGGUGUGUGCCAUCCAUCCGAGCCCAGAAGGACAGUAGGCAGGUUCUGCAGCUGGACACAGCUUCCGUCUCCUCUGCUGUCACCAGAAAGCACUGACUACAAGUUGUGAGCAGAGAGUAUGAAAGAGUCAUUUUUAACUAUAAGGUGGGUUUUCAGGUUCUCGCUUGGUGCUGCAAUUCUGGCUGCACUCGGAAGACCCUUGUGCCUCACUUCCUGCCUCUGUGACUAUAGCAAGCCUGCUGGUUACUGCCAGCUCUGAGUCCCCCUUGCCACACACCCCCUGGGCUCUAUGGUGUGUGCCUUUGAUGACAGUUGGGAAGAAGAAAGUACUCAUUCAUCACAGCACCCCCUGAAAGACUGCCAGGAACUUCUGAAAUAACAAUGGAUAGCCCCAGGAAUCACAGCUGCAGCUGGGCUCUUGAUCCCACUGCCUGGAGUUGGGGCCUUCAGGGCUGCUGUGGGCAGACCCUCCCGGUCAGGUGUUGAAGAGGGAGAAGCAGUGGUGAGAACUCAGUUUGCAGUCAGUCUGGUCUCCUUGUCCUGGACAGAGGUAACACUGGGAGUGAGUGACGUAACAAAUGCAUCAAACUGAUGAGACUGCCUUUAUAAGCCUGUAUCUUCCAUUUGAGCCCCAGUGAGUAUUCUUGUUGCUUUGCCCAGAGGAAAUUCUCAGAACAUAUGUCAGGCAAGGCUGGAGGACUAAACUAUGUGCCAGGGGCUAUUCUAAGUGUUCUCACGCAGCCCUGUAUGUAUGACACCAUGCCAGUUUUACAGCAGAGGUACUGAGGCAUAGAGCGGUAAAGUAUUUUGUCCAAGGUCACACAGCUUAUGAGGAGAGGGAAGCCUCUCGUUAUAUAACUUAAGGCAACGGUAACGUGUAAAAACAAUGCUUUUACCUGUUCAGGCAGGAGCUGUCCCACAUUCCUUACCAAUCCACCUGGGGCCCCGUUGGCUCACCCAGACCAGGCCAGUGUGUGGCAGCUUCAGCCAUAGAUUGCUGGGGCCACACCUCCUGGCUUGAGCUCCUGUUGAAGAAGGUCACCCGGUUGUUCAUUCAUCAUAGCUAAGGACUUCCAACUGCCCAGCCUCCUGCUGGACAGGAAACAGAACCCACCUGGAUUCGACAUCAUUCUGCUAAGGACAUAUCCAGAGACAGCUUGCCCUCUCCACUCCAGCCUCUUUAACAACCAGGACUCCUUUCCGCGCUAUCUGUAGGGGGAUCCAUACGGCGUUGUUCUGGAUUCCCGUCGUAACUUAAAGGGAAACUUUCACAAUGUCCGGAGCCCUCGAUGUCCUGCAAAUGAAGGAGGAGGAUGUCCUUAAGUUCCUUGCAGCAGGAACCCACUUAGUUGGCACCAAUCUUUACUUCCAGAUGGAACAGUACAUCUAUAAAAGGAAAAGUGAUGGCAUCUAUAUCAUAAAUCUGAAGAGGACCUGGGAGAAGCUUCUGCUGGCAGCUCGUGCUAUUGUUGCCAUUGAAAACCCUGCUGAUGUCAGUGUUAUAUCCUCCAGGAAUACUGGCCAGAGGGCCGUGCUGAAGUUUGCUGUUGCCACUGGAGCCACCCCAAUUGCUGGCCGCUUCACUCCUGGAACCUUCACUAACCAGAUCCAGGCAGCCUUCCGGGAGCCACGGCUGCUUGUGGUUACUGACCCCAGGGCUGACCACCAGCCUCUCACGGAGGCAUCUUAUGUUAACCUACCUACCAUCGCGCUGUGUAACAGAUUCUCCUCUGCGCUAUGUGGACAUUGCCAUCCCAUGCAACAACAAGGGAGCUCACUCAGUGGGUUUGAUGUGGUGGAUGCUGGCUCGGGAAGUUCUGUGCAUGCGUGGCACCAUUUCCCGUGAACACCCAUGGGAGGUCAUGCCUGAUCUCUACUUCUACAGAGAUCCUGGAGAGAUUGAAAAAGAAGAGCAGGCUGCUGCUGAAAAGGCAGUGACCAAGGAGGAAUUUCAUGGUGAAUGGACUGCACCAGCUCCUGAGUUCACUGCUACUCAGCCUGAGGUUGCAGACUGGUCUGAAGGUGUACAGGUGCCCUCUGUGCCUAUUCAGCAGUUCCCUACUGAAGACUGGAGCGCUCAGCCUGCCACGGAAGACUGGUCUGCAGCUCCCACUGCUCAGGCCACUGAAUGGGUAGGAGCAACCACUGACUGGUCUUAAGCUGUUCUUGCGUAGGCUCUUAAGCAACAUGGAAAAAUGGUCGAUGGAAAAUAAACAUCAGUUUCUAAAAAAAAAAAAAAA